GACGAACGCUGGCGGCGUGCCUAAUACAUGCAAGUAGAACGCUGAAGGAGGAGCUUGCUUCUCUGGAUGAGUUGCGAACGGGUGAGUAACGCGUAGGUAACCUGCCUGGUAGCGGGGGAUAACUAUUGGAAACGAUAGCUAAUACCGCAUAAUAGUAGAUGUUGCAUGACAUUUGCUUAAAAGGUGCAAUUGCAUCACUACCAGAUGGACCUGCGUUGUAUUAGCUAGUUGGUGAGGUAACGGCUCACCAAGGCAACGAUACAUAGCCGACCUGAGAGGGGGAUCGGCCACACUGGGACUGAGACACGGCCCAGACUCCUACGGGAGGCAGCAGUAGGGAAUCUUCGGCAAUGGACGGAAGUCUGACCGAGCAACGCCGCGUGAGUGAAGAAGGGUUUCGGAUCGUAAAGCUCUGUUGUAAGAGAAGAACGAGUGUGAGAGUGGAAAGUUCACACUGUGACGGUAUCUGAACAGAAAGGGACGGCUAACUACGUG
rnacentral:rRNA from 1 species